rnacentral:tRNA from 1 species
CAAGUAGUAGUUUAUCAGAUUAAAACGCUAAUCUGCAAAUUUAAGGAAGGGCGGUCCCCUACUUGG